CCUACGGGUGGCAGCAGUGGGGGAUAUUGCACAAUGGGGGGAACCCUGAUGCAGCGACGCCGCGUGGGUGAAGAAGCGCCUCGGCGCGUAAAGCCCUGUCAGCAGGGAAGAAAAUGACGGUACCUGAAGACGAAGCCCCGGCUAACUACGUGCCAGCAGCCGCGGUAAUACGUAGGGGGCAAGCGUUAUCCGGAUUUACUGGGUGUAAAGGGGGCGCAGACGGCGAUGCAAGCCAGGAGUGAACGCCCGGGGCGCAACCCCGGGACUGCUCUUGGAACUGCGUGGCUGGAGUGCAGGAGGGGCAGGCGGAAUUCCUGGUGUAGCGGGGAAAUGCGUAGAUAUCAGGAGGAACACCGGUGGCGAAGGCGGGCUGCUGGACUGCAACUGACGUUGAGGCCCGAAAGCGUGGGGAGCAAACAGGAUUAGAUACCCCAGUAGUC
rnacentral:rRNA from 1 species